CACCGCCUGGGGAGUACGACCGCAAGGUUAAAACUCAAAUGAAUUGACGGGGACCCGCACAAGUAGUGGAGCAUGUGGUUUAAUUCGAAGAUACGCGCAGAACCUUACCAACACUUGACAUGUUCGUCGCGACUUUAAGAGAUUAAAGUUUUCGGUUCGGCCGGACGAAACACAGGUGCUGCAUGGCUGUCGUCAGCUCGUGUCGUGAGAUGUUGGGUUAAGUCCCGCAACGAGCGCAACCCUCACUUUUAGUUGCCAUCAUUAAGUUGGGCACUCUGAAAGAACUGCCAGUGAUAAGCUGGAGGAAGGUGGGGAUGACGUCAAGUCCUCAUGGCCCUUACGUGUUGGGCUACACACGUGCUACAAUGGCAUUUACAAUAGGAAGCAAGAUGGCGACGUCAAGCAAAUCCUAAAAAGAUGCCUCAGUUCGGAUUGUACUCUGCAACUCGAGUACAUGAAGCUGGAAUUACUAGUAAUCGCGGAUCAGCGCGCCGCGGUGAAUACGUUCCCGGGUCUUGUACACACCGCCCGUCACACCAUGGGAGUUGGUUCUACCUUAAGGCAAAGUUUAAAACCUUUGACCACGGUAUAGUCAGCGACUGGGGUGAAGUCGUAACAAGGUAGCCGUAGGGGAACCUGCGGCUGGAUUACCUCCUUUCUAAGGAUGAUCAAAAAUUUAUUUUUGAUCUAAAUAUUUAACAGGUUAAUGUUGACCGUCCUCAUUUCUCUUCUUAAUUUUAAGUGUUUCUCUUUACUGAAUAAGGGCCGGUAGCUCAGUUGGUUAGAGCACACCCUUGAUAAGGGUGGGGUCGAAAGUUCGAGUCUUUCUCGGCCCACCAUUUUUUGGGGGAUUAGCUCAGCUGGGAGAGCGCCUGAUUUGCAUUCAGGAGGUCAGCGGUUCGAUCCCGCUAUCCUCCACCAGAAACACUUAGUUAUUUAAAUUGUAAAUAAAAUUAAUAUUAUCAAUAUCUAUAUCCGAUUGUUCGAAUAGAUGAACAAUCAUUGAAUGUUCGAAAAGAUGAACAUUCCAACAAAAUUUGAUUCAACACAGAAUUUUUUUCUG
rnacentral:sRNA from 1 species